GACGAACGCUGGCGGCGUGCUUAACACAUGCAAGUCGAACGGAAAGGCCCUGCUUUUGUGGGGUGCUCGAGUGGCGAACGGGUGAGUAACACGUGAGUAACCUGCCCUUGACUUUGGGAUAACUUCAGGAAACUGGGGCUAAUACCGGAUAGGAGCUCCUGCUGCAUGGUGGGGGUUGGAAAGUUUCGGCGGUUGGGGAUGGACUCGCGGCUUAUCAGCUUGUUGGUGGGGUAGUGGCUUACCAAGGCUUUGACGGGUAGCCGGCCUGAGAGGGUGACCGGCCACAUUGGGACUGAGGUACGGCCCAGACUCCAACGGGAGGCAGCGGUGGGGAAUAUUACACAAUGGGCGGAAGCCUGAUGCGGCAACGCCGCGUGCGGGAUGACGGCCUUCGGGUUGUAAACCACUUUCGCCUGUGACGAAGCGUGAGUGACGGUAAUGGGUAAAGAAGCACCGGCUAACUACGUG
rnacentral:rRNA from 1 species